CACGAAUGAGGCAGGCCAUCCCGCACAGCAGCCAGAGGAAUAGUUCCUUUUGGAGUGAGUGUGCCUCCUAGUCCACGACGUUGUCUUGAGUUGGCAGGGUGCCUGAUGCAAUCUUCCCUGGUCUCAGACCGACUUAUCCUGUCAUAGGAGUCUUCCUGUGGUCAACACCCUAACUGUAUUUAAGCCCUCAACCUGUGACCACAUAUUGCAGCUGUUUUUUGGUCCAUGAGAGACAGAGAAGGAGGGAAAGGACCCUCAGAGAAUCGUUCUUAUCUUCCCAAAAGGAGAGAAUUCAGUCAAGAAACCAGAACACAAGAAAAAGCAGCAAGAAAUCUAUUGGGUUAAAGUGAAAGUACAGUCUCGAGACCAAAGGAGAGUGGGCUGCCUGGAAAUCAGGGUUAGGAUUGGUCUCUUUCCUCUAAGAUGGUGGGAAAUCUUGCCCUACUUCUUACAUUAUUUGACAGGUUGAAUGACCUGUUAUAUAACUUUUGUAGGUUAUAUACCUUUUUCUUAGUGCACAGACACCUUAUCCGUAAGUACCUGAGUGAAGCCCACAGAGGCGGGGGUGGGCAAAACCACAAUGCUAACUGGGUGUGGAUGUUAUUUUAAUACUCAGUAAUCCGAAAAGUCCCUGUGGUUCUGGAUAUUCUGAUAAACUGAUUGCAGAACUGAGAACUAGGGGGGGCUUGGGGGUUGGUCAGGACAGUCUUCCAGGCCACUUCCUUGGUGAUGGGCUGGCCUCUUUCUCCUGUUUAUGUCUAACCGCCUACUCUAACAUGGCUGGGGAGGAACACCCAUCCUUCACAGAUUUGGCUGCGCGUGGAUGGAGGAUGGAGAUCUGAGGGAGUAACUGGGGUGCGUUUAAAGUGGUGAGGGCUUUGUCAGGGACUGGAGGUAUCUCAGGAAUCCCUGGGAGUCGGGAUCCCAAACUUACUCGCGGUCACCGUAUGUUAAUUUACAUCACGGGCAAUAUUCAGGGCCUCCCAGGGGUGCUUAAAGCGCUUCCCCGCAGAGUCUAAAAUCUCGGAACAGGGAAGGCGUGAUAGAGCCAGAGGAGGGCUCUGAGAUAGGAUAGGCCAGGCCGGGUGCGCAGGGCUGCGGGACAGCACGGAAUCCACCCCUCACCUCCCACACCGCCCGGCACAAACCACCCCGUUGCCUCCAGCGACUGCCUCCUCCCUCAGGUUAGGAGUUCUCUUGGGUCCGCCCGGAGCUCCGUCAUUGACGCCGACGGCCGCCUGGGGGCGCUCAAGGCGCGGCCCGCUCAAAUGACGCCAUCACAGGAGGUCUGUACGCGCCUGUUCCGCCCCUGGGCGUCGCGUGACGUCACUGAGUAGCCCGGAAGCGCCUGCACACGUUCUCUGACGACUGUGGUCCCCUUGGCUCCGCUGUCACCGGCCAUGGGUCGCUCCCGUCGGACGGGCGCACACAGAGCGCACUCCCUGGCCCGCCAGAUGAAGGCGAAACGGCGGCGGCCAGACCUGGAUGAGAUUCACCGAGAGCUGAGGCUCCA